GAUGAAGAACGUAGCGAAAUGCGAUACGUAAUGUGAAUUGCAAAUUCAGUGAAUCAUCGAGUCUUUGAACGCACAUUGCGCCCCUUGGUAUCCCGAGGGGCAUGCCUGUUCGAGCGUCAUUUCACCACUCAAGCCUGGCUUGGUGUUGGGCGACGUCCCCUUUGGGGACGCGCCUCGAAACGCUCGGCGGCGUGGCACCGGCUUUAAGCGUAGCAGAAUCUUUCGCUUUGGAAGUCGGGGCCCCGUCUGCCGGAAGACCUACUCGCAAGGUUGACCUCGGAUCAGGCAGGGAUACCCGCUGAACUUAAGCAUAUCAAUAAGCGGAGGA
rnacentral:misc_RNA from 1 species